GCCGAAAUAGCUCAGUUGGAAGUGGCGUUAGACUGAAGAUCUAAAGGUCCCUGUUUCAAUCCUGGGUUUCGGCA
rnacentral:tRNA from 1 species